GGAGGGGUGGCAGAGCGGUUGAAUGCACCGGUCUUGAAAACCGGCGUCGGUGCAAGCCGACCGCGGGUUCGAAUCCCGCCCCCUCCG
rnacentral:tRNA from 1 species